AUACAGAGGGUGCGAGCGUUAAUCGGAAUUACUGGGCGUAAAGCGCGCGUAGGCGGCUACUUAAGUCAGAUGUGAAAUCCCCGGGCUCAACCUGGGAACUGCAUCUGAUACUGGGUAGCUAGAGUUUAGGAGAGGGAAGUAGAAUUUCAGGUGUAGCGGUGAAAUGCAUAGAGAUCUGAAGGAAUACCAGUGGCGAAGGCGGCUUCCUGGCCUAAAACUGACGCUGAGGUGCGAAAGCGUGGGUAGCAAACGGGAUUAGAAACCCCAGUAGUCC
rnacentral:rRNA from 1 species